CGACAGGCCUAACACAUGCAAGUCGAGGGCAGCACAAGGAGCAAUCUGAGGUGGCGACCGGCGCACGGGUGAGUAACACGUAUGCAACCUGCCUGUAAGCGGGGAAUAACCCGUUGAAAGACGGACUAAUACCGCAUAAUACUAAAUUACUGCAUGGUAAUUUAUUUAAACAUUUAUGGCUUACAGAUGGGCAUGCGCAUGAUUAGCUAGUUGGAGAGGUAACGGCUCCCCAAGGCAACGAUCAUUAGGGGUUCUGAGAGGAAGGUCCCCCCACACUGGUACUGAGACACGGACCAGACUCCUACGGGAGGCAGCAGUGAGGAAUAUUGGUCAAUGGACGAGAGUCUGAACCAGCCAAGUCGCGUGCAGGAAGAAUUGUCCUAUGGAUUGUAAACUGCUUUUGUAUGGGAGCAAUAAGGGCUACGUGUAGUCCGAUGAGAGUACCAUACGAAUAAGCACCGGCUAACUCCGUGCCAGCAGCGGC
rnacentral:rRNA from 1 species